UUAUGUUUCUAAAGUCCAGAAUGAAAUUUAAACCCCGUCAUUUAAGGCAACACAGACGUUGUGUCCGUAAUAAAUGAAAAAGAGAUACCAUUUUAAAACGUAAUCAAACUUAACUCUUUCCGUAUCUCCUCCUCGUUGCAGUCUCUUCAUCCUCUCUCCUCAGUUUGACGUCCUUUGACCCAAUUUCACCUGCUGUCAUUUCAGAUGUCUCAUCUCUGCGACCACAACUACUCGAGGACCGAGCCCAGCUGCUCCCAGAGCACCACCACCUGUCAGGAAGCUGACCCACUGAUGUUCCUGCUCCUGCAGGUCUUCUUCAUGCGCCGCCUGGAUGAAGACGUAGUGUUUUGUCG